rnacentral:lncRNA from 1 species
CCUCCCUUCUCCACGCCCCCCCCCGUCAAGCCUUUGGCAUCAUUAUCCUCAUCACUAAAUCCUACAGAGUACAGGGCGGAAAACGGUGCACAC